rnacentral:rRNA from 1 species
AGCAGCCGCGGUAAUUCCAGCUCCAAUAGCGUAUAUUAAAGUUGUUGCAGUUAAAAAGCUCGUAGUUGAAUUUCGGAAUCAAUAUGUCGGUCGUGCCUUCGGUACGUACUGGUAUCAUUGGUUUCUCCUUUCUGACGAACCGUGAUGUCAUUAAUUUGGUGUUAUGGGGAGUUAGGACUGUUACUUUGAAAAAUUAGAGUGUUUAAAGCAGGCUUUAGCUUGAAUACAUUAGCAUGGAAUAAUGAAAUAGGACGUUCGAACCUAUUUUGUUGGUUUCUAGGAUCAACGUAAUGAUUAAUAGGGAUAGUUGGGGGCAUUAGUAUUCAAUUGUCAGAGGUGAAAUUCUUGGAUUUAUUGAAGACUAACUACUGCGAAAGCAUUUGCCAAGGAUGUUUUCAUUAAUCAAGAACGAAAGUUAGGGGAUCGAAGACGAUCAGAUACCGUCGUAGU